GCCCGGGUGGUGGAAUAGGUAGACACAAGGGAUUUAAAAUCCCUCAGCUUUUUGCUAUACGAGUUCAAGUCUCGUCCCGGGCACCA
rnacentral:tRNA from 1 species